UACGUUAGAGAUACGUAUGGAGGUUUUACAUUAGAGAUAGGUAUGGAAGUUUCUAUAAAAACAGGUUGCAGCCAGCAGGGCUCUGAAGGGUGUCACUUUCCCUCCCCCAUGUCUUUCCCUGUUUCCUGUGGCGUCCCAGGAAGGAGUGUGCAAAGAUCUCCCCCACCCUGGGGCAGUGGCUUUACCCAAGGCUCUUGAGCAGCUUGACUAGAGCCCCCACACGGG
rnacentral:lncRNA from 1 species